CACAAUGUAACCCUGGAUCCUGACAGUACCCCCCCAAGGGCCGACCCCAGACGGCCCAGGAGCCGCAGGAUGAGCUGCAUGAAAGGCACGAAUAAGACCGGGGUCCAACACAAAACGGGAGGGCACCCAGGACCGCUCCUCAGGACCGUA